rnacentral:lncRNA from 1 species
CGGCAGUCGAUACCUUGUUGUAUGACCUUAAACUUGUUACUCUGAAGUUAUACAGCUCUGAAGAUGCCCUUAAUUUUAUAAUGCCAGUGUCGCAAGAUUUGUCUCCUACUCCUAACCUGGGGCCCGCUUAUUUAAUAUGAAAAUUGGAUAUUGGGGAAUUUAUACCAGGAAAAAUCCCAAUUUGGAAUUAGAGUUCCAAUUCGGAAGUUGGGGUUUCAUCAAUUCUUCCCAACGCUAAGAGGAUGCAUGAUUUUGGAGUUCCUUCUAGGCAGUUACUCUCGGCUUCAAAAACCACGAAAAUCUCACUUAUUGCUGCAGAAAAAUAUUGUCAUCAUCGAUCAAAUUCAUUUAAUUGAUGAUGAAAUCUUUCUUUUGCCUCGCCUUGUAGACCAGUAACCCUGUAGCUCUGUAUCCCUCCUUCUGUCUGGCAAACAUCUCAUUUACUUAUGACAACAUCUUCACUCUCCUUAUCUUUUUUCCGUAUCCAAUUUUAUAAUGUGUCCAUUCCUCUUUUAUCCACAACCUCUCUAUUCCUAACCUCAUCCGUGUAUUCCUAACCAUGCUCCCUCUUAUCCUUCCCAGAUCGACCUGAAUGACAACGCAACCGUCAAAUGUGCCAAAUGCACUUGUGUGCGAGGGCAAGUUCGGUGUCACCAUAUGGCAGCCGUUUUGAUAUAUGCCCACCACCAUAUUUCCGUCACGGACAAAUCCUGUGGUUGGAAAAAAGGUAAAGAGGCAACAGAAGAGAAAGUCGUCACCAUUGAUGAAAUGUUUACCUCCACAGAGAAACAGAACUACAGAGCCACUGCUAGCCGACCAGACGGGUUAAGGGAAAAACUUUAUCACCAGCUGAGAGAGGCCUUCGGGCAUCAUGUUGCUUUUUGCUGGUUUUUGUCGCCAGAGGUAGCUGCUCCAGAGGAGCUGCAUAAUUUAGAGUCUGUUCUACGCUCUGAGGAGUUUAAGAAUUGUCCUGAUAAAGUUAAGUUUCUGCAAGAGCGUGUGAGAGUGUGUGCUGAGCAAAUUAAUAUGAUUGAAAGGAAUACAAUUGGACAAUCUAAAAAUCAUCUAUGGUUAAUUACCAGGAGAUUUCUGUUAACUGCCAGUUGUUUCGGUGAAGCACAUCCCCAUCAAACAGAAUCUCAUAGAUGCAUGCUGCAAACCGAACGCAUUUUCUCUUAUUUUUGAAACAAGUUUUGUCACCUUGAAGGCAAGGCUUUUGUCUUUUUUCUUAAACCUGUUUUUGUGCACACUAUUUAAUCUAGAUUUUCUGCUAGAUACUCAUUAGAACUUUAAAAGUCUUGAAUGGUCCAUCAAAGAGUUAUUUGUAUAGAGAGAAGGCACUUCUCCCUUAAUUACCUAUUUUCAAAAUUUCAUUUUUUUCCUCUCUUCAAAAAUUUAAUUUAAUUUACAUUAAUUGGCAAAAGCCCUCUUACAUGUUUGGGCAGG